rnacentral:rRNA from 1 species
UACGUAGGCAGCGAGCGUUGUUCGGAGUUACUGGGCGUAAAGGGUGUGUAGGCGGUUGCUUAAGUUUGGUGUGAAAUCUCCCGGCUCAACUGGGAGGGUGCGCCGAAUACUGAGUGACUCGAGUGCGGGAGAGGAGAGUGCAAUUCCUGGUGUAGCGGUGAAAUGCGUAGAUAUCAGGAGGAACACCGGUGGUGUAGACGGCUCUCUGGACCGUAACUGACGCUGAGACACGAAAGCGUGGGUAGCAAACAGG